GGUCCUGUGGUGUAGUGGUUAUCACGUCUGCUUUACACGUAGGUCGCCGGAUCGAUGCCGGCCAGCACCU